rnacentral:rRNA from 1 species
AGAGUUUGAUCAUGGCUCAGAUUGAACGCUGGCGGAAUGCUUUACACAUGCAAGUCGAACGGCAGCACGGGUACUUGUACCUGGUGGCGAGUGGCGAACGGGUGAGUAACAUAUCGGAACGUAUCCAAUAAUGGGGGAUAACGAGUCGAAAGAUUCGCUAAUACCGCAUACGCCCUACGGGGGAAAGCUAGGGACCUUCGGGCCUGGCGUUAAUGGAGCGGCCGAUAUCUGAUUAGCUAGUUGGUGAGGUAAAGGCUCACCAAGGCGACGAUCAGUAGCUGGUCUGAGAGGACGACCAGCCACACUGGAACUGAGACACGGUCCAGACUCCUACGGGAGGCAGCAGUGGGGAAUUUUGGACAAUGGGGGCAACCCUGAUCCAGCCAUUCCGCGUGAGUGAAGAAGGCCUUCGGGUUGUAAAGCUCUUUCGCAAGGGAAGAAAACUUAUCCUCUAACAUAGGAUGAGGUUGACGGUACCUUGAUAAGAAGCACCGGCUAACUACGUGCCAGCAGCCGCGGUAAUACGUAGGGUGCGAGCGUUAAUCGGAAUUACUGGGCGUAAAGCGUGCGCAGGCUGUUUUGUAAGUCAGAUGUGAAAUCCCCGAGCUCAACUUGGGAACUGCGUUUGAAACUACAAGACUAGAAUAUGUCAGAGGGGGGUAGAAUUCCACGUGUAGCAGUGAAAUGCGUAGAGAUGUGGAGGAAUACCAAUGGCGAAGGCAGCCCCCUGGGAUAAUAUUGACGCUCAUGCACGAAAGCGUGGGGAGCAAACAGGAUUAGAUACCCUGGUAGUCC